CGCUAAGCCAAAGGUCACCCCAAGUGGGAGAUCCUGCGUCAUUAUUUGUUGCCUUGGGGGCCUGCGUUC